GAUGAACGCUAGCUACAGGCUUAACACAUGCAAGUCGAGGGGCAGCAUGAUCGAAGCUUGCUUUGAUUGAUGGCGACCGGCGCACGGGUGAGUAACGCGUAUCCAACCUUCCCCAUAGUAGAGAAUAGCCCGGCGAAAGUCGGAUUAAUGCUCUAUGUUCUUCUUUGAUGGCCUCUGAUGAGAAGCAAAGCUUUAGCGCUAUAGGAUGGGGAUGCGUCUGAUUAGCUUGUUGGCGGGGUAACGGCCCACCAAGGCGACGAUCAGUAGGGGUUCUGAGAGGAAGGUCCCCCACAUUGGUACUGAGACACGGACCAAACUCC
rnacentral:rRNA from 1 species